rnacentral:rRNA from 1 species
UACGUAGGGUGCGAGCGUUGUCCGGAAUUACUGGCGUAAAGAGCUCGUAGGUGGUUUGUCGCGUUGUUCGUGAAAUCUCACGGCUUAACUGUGAGCGUGCGGGCGAUACGGGCAGACUGGAGUACUGCAGGGGAGACUGGAAUUCCUGGUGUAGCGGUGGAAUGCGCAGAUAUCAGGAGGAACACCGGUGGCGAAGGCGGGUCUCUGGGCAGUAACUGACGCUGAGGAGCGAAAGCGUGGGGAGCAAACAGG